UGCAUCAUUGCUUUUGGAGACGUUAUGGAUUCAUACUACAGAAAAGAUAAUUUUUGACGUCAAUUUUGAGUACUCUUGUAUUGCAAUUUCAAACUUGAAAUAACGAGGGGAGGAAAGGAGAGAAAUCACCUCCAGAAUUAACAGCAGGUCAUCUGAGGAUGGGAGAAAGCUGAAAACAACAACAAUAACGAACAGAAUCUCAGAAUUGGAAGGACCAUUUGGGGCCAACCCACACCUGAACAGGAGUUUCCAUCUUCCGCAUCACCAACAAAUGACCAUCCAGCCUCGACUUCAAAGGUGAGGAAUAUAAUUAUCUCUGAAGGUUGCCCGUUUCACUUUGGGACUAUUCUAAAUAGUAU
rnacentral:lncRNA from 1 species